rnacentral:tRNA from 1 species
GUGGGUAUAGCUCAGGGGUAGAGUGUGUGCCUUACAUGCAUGAGGUCCUGGGUUCAAUCCCCAGUACCUCCA